GUGUGCUGCUGGUUGUUAAGCCCUGGGCUGCUGACACGGGCUGUGUGGCUGCUGGGGUGCUCUGCUGAGGCUGACCUGGCUGCCAGAGAAAGUGCUGGUGUGAGCACUGCAAUGGCCAAAGAGAUCACCUAAAGCUGAAGGCUGAGAGAAAAGACUGAGGGCUUCCUGCAGCCUAGCUGACUAUCCCAAAUCCUUUCUGAGCACAAGAAGCAGGACAGAUUUGCUUAACCUAAACCCACAAAGGCUCAGGCAGCACAGAAGAGGCCGGCCAUUGCAACUGUCAAAGACAAGACAACCACAGGCCUGCGUGUGUAUGCGAGUUAACAUCAUCAGCUUCUCUUCCAAAUUCUCCUGCAUGAAUGAAACAAAGCAUCUUGGGAAAAUACCUGUUGCCUCAUCAUAGAUUUCCUGGUUGAAUUUGCAAGUCACAUACUUCUGGAAGUUUUCUAGACUGGAGGGCAGGUCUGCUAUGAUGUGCUCCCAGGUCUGCAUUUGCUGACCUGAGCGCAGACACAGCCCCUGGAGCCCUCCUUGCUGCUCCUCCCUUUCUCACAGUGUGAGCACACAGCAUUUCAGAAGGGCUUUGCUGGCCUUCCCCACCAGGGAGCCAGCACAUGGCAGCGGCAUUUGUUCUGAAGGAUCCCAUGCCCUUCCACCCACAGCAGAUGUAGAUGUAGACUCAACAUCGGUCCUGUUUUUCCACAAUAAGGAUAAAGGCCCUUCCUGUGUGUGCCUUGGCCUGUAGGUUGUAGCUCCUCUGGGGAAGAGACUGUCCACCCCUGGGAAGUGAAGGAAACACCCAGCACAGUGGCGUGCCAUUUCACCCGGGGCCUCUAGAAGUGUCACUGGUCUUCACAGUGCACAGAGCGAGCUGUGGCUCUGCUGGGCUUGGGAGUGAAUGCACGGUAUCUUCAAGAUGCAGAUGAUGUAAUCACAGUGGUCUGAGACAUUUUUGCUACAUCUAUAUUCCACCAAAAUCCACAAUUAUGGUUGACUUUUCUGUGAUUGAAGAUAUUCCAGAAAGAUGGACUGCAAUGAUUCUAAACAGAAUCUCAUGAUGAUUCCUUCUGAUUUUUGAACACUUCAUGCAGUUUCGUUGUUAAAUGCGGAAAGAAACCCCAGAAAGAAGCCCAGAGAAACAUUUCUUGGCUAAUACAGGCUUCUUCAGAAGGACAAAGAAUUUUUAAAAAUCUAAUUUUUUUUCUUGCAAAAGAAAAACAGGUCAAAAAAUAUUCCUAGUAAGUUAUUAAAAAUAUUCACCAUUAAAUUUCUCAAACACA